CCUACGGGAGGCAGCAGUGAGGAAUAUUGGUCAAUGGGAGAGAUCCUGAACCAGCCAAGCCGCGUGAGGGAAGACGGCCCUAUGGGUUGUAAACCUCUUUUGUCGGAGAACAAAACCCGGGACGUGUCCCGGACUGCGUGUAUCCGAAGAAAAAGCAUCGGCUAACUCCGUGCCAGCAGCCGCGGUAAUACGGAGGAUGCGAGCGUUAUCCGGAUUUAUUGGGUUUAAAGGGUGCGUAGGCGGUCCGUUAAGUCAGCGGUAAAAUUGCGGGGCUCAACCCCGUCGAGCCGUUGAAACUGGCAGACUGGAGUGGGCGAGAAGUACGCGGAAGGCGCGGUGUAGCGGUGAAAUGCAUAGAUAUCGCGCAGAACUCCGAUUGCGAAGGCAGCGUACCGGCGCCAGACUGACGCUGAGGCACGAAAGCGUGGGGAUCGAACAGGAUUAGAUACCCCGGUAGUC
rnacentral:rRNA from 1 species